CCAGUUGAUGGGCUUGCUAUGAUUUACUUUGAGUGAGUGGCGAACUGGUGAGUAACACGUGGGAAACCUGCCCAGAAGCGGGGGAUAACACCUGGAAACAGAUGCUAAUACCGCAUAACAACUUGGACCGCAUGGUCCGAGUUUGAAAGAUGGCUUCGGCUAUCACUUUUGGAUGGUCCCGCGGCGUAUUAGCUAGAUGGUGGGGUAACGGCUCACCAUGGCAAUGAUACGUAGCCGACCUGAGAGGGUAAUCGGCCACAUUGGGACUGAGACACGGCCCAAACUCCUACGGGAGGCAGCAGUAGGGAAUCUUCCACAAUGGACGAAAGUCUGAUGGAGCAACGCCGCGUGAGUGAAGAAGGGUUUCGGCUCGUAAAACUCUGUUGUUAAAGAAGAACAUAUCUGAGAGUAACUGUUCAGGUAUUGACGGUAUUUAACCAGAAAGCCACGGCUAACUACGUGCCAGCAGCCGCGGUAAUACGUAGGUGGCAAGCGUUGUCCGGAUUUAUUGGGCGUAAAGCGAGCGCAGGCGGUUUUUUAAGUCUGAUGUGAAAGCCUUCGGCUCAACCGAAGAAGUGCAUGGAAAACUGGGGAAACUGGAGUGCGGAAGAGGACAGUGGGAACUCCAGGUGUAGGGGUGAAAUGGGUAGGUAUAGGAAGAACCCCAGGGGGAAGGGCGGCUGUCUGGUCUGUAACUGACGCGAGGGCUCGAAAGUAUGGGUAGCAAACAGGAUUAGAUACCCUGGUAGUCCAUACCGUAAAGGAUGAAUGCUAAGUGUGGAGGGGUUUCCGCCCUUCAGUGCUGCAGCUAACGCAUUAAGCAUUCCGCCUGGGGAGUACGGCCGCAAGGCUGAAACUCAAAGGAAUUGACGGGGGCCCGCACAAGCGGUGGAGCAUGUGGUUUAAUUCGAAGCUACGCGAAGAACCUUACCAGGUCUUGACAUACUAUGCAAAUCUAAGAGAUUAGACGUUCCCUUCGGGGACAUGGAUACAGGUGGUGCAUGGUUGUCGUCAGCUCGUGUCGUGAGAUGUUGGGUUAAGUCCCGCAACGAGCGCAACCCUUAUUAUCAGUUGCCAGCAUUAAGUUGGGCACUCUGGUGAGACUGCCGGUGACAAACCGGAGGAAGGUGGGGAUGACGUCAAAUCAUCAUGCCCCUUAUGACCUGGGCUACACACGUGCUACAAUGGAUGGUACAACGAGUUGCGAACUCGCGAGAGUAAGCUAAUCUCUUAAAGCCAUUCUCAGUUCGGAUUGUAGGCUGCAACUCGCCUACAUGAAGUCGGAAUCGCUAGUAAUCGCGGAUCAGCAUGCCGCGGUGAAUACGUUCCCGGGCCUUGUACACACCGCCCGUCACACCAUGAGAGUUUGUAACACCCAAAGUCGGGGGGUACUUUAGAACCGCCCAGAGGAGUUU
rnacentral:rRNA from 2 species